rnacentral:lncRNA from 1 species
GUGCCCCGAUACCAUAAAGUCCAAAAAUUUUUCUGAGGUUAUUCCAAAAGUGUACUUGACUGGGUUCAACUUCAUCUUGUAUUUUCGGAGGGCGCUGAAGGUCUCCUCAAGGUCGGCAAAGUGGUUCAUUGAGGAUUUGCUUUUUACGAGCAUAUCAUCCAUGUAGACCUCCAUGUUGCGGCUGAUCUGCUCUUUAAAGAUCUUGUUUACCAGCC